GACGAACGCUGGCGGCGUGCUUAACACAUGCAAGUCGAACGGAAAGGCUCUGCUCUUGUGGGGUGCUCGAGUGCCGAACGGGUGAGUAACACGCGUGUAACCUGCCCCUGACUUUGGGAUAACUCAAGGAAACACGGGUUAUUACCGCAUAUGACCUCCUGCUGCAUGGGGGUGGAGGGAAAGUUUCGCCGGUUGGGGAUGGACUCGCGGGUUAUCAGCUUGUUGGUGGGGUGGUGGCUUACCAAUGCUUCGACGCGUAGCCGGCCUGAGAGGGUGACCGGCCACAAUGGGACUCAGGAACGGGCCAGAGUGCUACGUGAGGCAGGAGUGAGAGAUAUUGCACAAUGGGCGGAAGCCUGAUGCAGCAACGCCGCGUGGGGGAUGACGGCCUUCGGGUUGUAAACCGCUUUCGCCUGUGACGAAGCGUGAGUGACGGUAAUGGGUAAAGAAGCACCGGCUAACUACGUG
rnacentral:rRNA from 1 species